UGAUUGUCUACUAAAACCCUGGUC
rnacentral:siRNA from 1 species